CGGGACGGGUGAGUAAUGUCUGGGAAACUGCCUGAUGGAGGGGGAUAACUACUGGAAACGGUAGCUAAUACCGCAUAACGUCGCAGACCAAAGAGGGGGACCUUCGGGCCUCUUGCCAUCGGAUGUGCCCAGAUGGGAUUAGCUAGUAGGUGGGGUAACGGCUCACCUAGGCGACGAUCCCUAGCUGGUCUGAGAGGAUGACCAGCCACACUGGAACUGAGACACGGUCCAG
rnacentral:rRNA from 1 species